AACUAUAGUUACCUUUCGGGUCCCUGCUCAGCAGGGAUAAUUGGGAAGUUCGGUGAGAAACCGACGCUGGCCCGCAACCGUGAGAGGGGACGAAAACCGCAUAAUGCCACUGGGGAUAUCCUGGGAAGGCGCGGUGAGUAGGUCGAUCCUCGAGCCGGGAGACCAGCCCUUAAGGUGGAUUUUGUA
rnacentral:ncRNA from 1 species